UGUCAGGGGGACAGAUACAGCUUUGUGGCAUGAUGCGGAUGGCUUGGCCUGCGUAUGGUUCGAUUAAGCAAUAGCUCACGACAGACCAUGGUAUACGCUUCACUGUGUCCAACACCACCUUAUCAGAGUUGUUGGAUUCCACUCCUCCAUGCAGAGCCAUAAAAGACAGGGUGAAAUAUAUUUUGGAUGCCCUGCUACACGAGGCCACCCUUCAUUCGCUUGCUGCCGUCAACUGUAUUUCCCUGGACAGAGCCAAAAGGUUGUAUCAACAGGGUAGACAGUAUGACAAGAGUUCCACCAGAAACAUUCUUAUUGUUGCCUGUUGGCAACAUGAUGGACAUUCUUGGCUGGGACUUGAUGAGACACCUUGAUGAAGAAACCAAGCAAAAGCUGCAAGACAAAGACAACAAAAUGAAAUCUGCACUGGAUUCUCCAGACUUCAUAAAGAGACUCUGAGUCUGCCCCAUGCACUUAACCCAGUUAUUUAGACCAUCUCCUAGACAAUUAAUCCAAUCAACUUCUGAUGUUCACUGUGCAAUCUAAAGACAUGGGCAAUGAAAAGUUCUGCAGAGUUUUUGCUGAAGGGCGUGCAUGUAUCAUACCAGGUAGAUUUUUGUUUUUGGUAUACACUUCAGUCUUAUUGACACUUACAAGGUAUACAAUAUAGCAUUAUGAGUGUUUAAAAGAAAAUCGGAACUGUUUGUGUAAUGGCAUGGAAGGUCAGUGUUUUUUCCAUGAAAGACGAAAGCUAUGACGUCAUUAUACACGCUUAGAACUGUACCAAAUUUCAUGUUUGAUAACAGCCCUGCUCUGAAGACAUCAUGUUAAUAUUAAUUCAGUCAUAGUAAGUAAGCAACAUGAAGUAAGUUUUAGAUGUUAAUGUCUUUAUUGCACAUUUUAUUGUAUUGUGGGUAUUCUUUUUUAUUCACUGUACUUUUAUAUGAUGGAGCUCUUUGAUGGCACUUUUUUUUUUCAUUUAGAUUUUGUUAAGCACUUUAACAUGAUUUUUAAGGUGCUAUAAAAAUCAAGUGUGUUGUGUCUCACUGAAAGUGAAAAAGUGCACUAUUUUCAUUGAUA